rnacentral:lncRNA from 13 species
AGCUUCCAUAUGAUUUUGCACACAUCAUUAUUCGUUCUUGUAUGACUUGCGUUUUGCUUUCUCUUCCCCUUUUGUCAGCCACUAAAACACUGACCACGAUAUGAAGAUCAUGAAAAGAAAAGAACCUCCUGGACGUACAUCCAGAACACCAAAAACCCUCGAUACUUCUCAUCCAGUGUGCUACUCUCUGAAAUGACAUGGGUGGUGUAAUUAUAGCUGAGUUAAUAUGACAUAAUAGCCAAGCCAUCCGCAGAUGUGCUGAGGUUUCCUAAAGACAGCAUGAGUUAAACCAAGUCUGUAUAUUAUGUUGUUAGAAAGCAUUAACUCAUUACCAGCUAAUGGCAAAAUGAGACUUGCAGCCCUAGGAGGCUGAAAGUUUGAACACUGAGCGAGAGAGAAAGUGUGUUGAAACAAUGAGUUGUUACUGUGAAGAUGCACAAAUCAUGGCACUCCAGUUGAGAGGAUGCCAUGAUCCUCUGAGGGGUAAUAACGAGGUGGCUGGAUGAAUAGAACUAGAACCAGAGAAUAGAGGCAGGGAUCCAGACAUGCUGCUGGGAUCCAAACACAGACAGUCUCUAUUGAUUGAUGUCCUUAAGGUGCUUACGGCUCCACACUCCUGGCAUGGAACCCAAUACAGACCCUUGAGGAGCACCUAGCCCAGCUCCAGCUGUUACUGCAGGUGUUCCAUACACUGGCGGUUCUAAUAGCUCUAGAUCUUUUUUCCUUUACUUCUUUAAUAAUUUGGCGUACCACAGUUUCGUGGGGCGCCCUCAAGGUCAGAGCAAGGGCUUUUUUUUCUCCAUGUUUUUUUUUUUUUUNNNNNNNNNNUGGGUUUCUGUACAGCACUUUGAGAUAUCAGCUGAUGUACGAAGGGCUAUAUAAAAUAAAUUUGAUUGAAUUUGAUUAAUAUCUAGUCAUCACACAGUGCUAUCUGCACUAAAGACAGCUGCUACUCAGCUCUACACACAAGUAUUUAGAUGAAUUCAGAAUACAUUUCUCUUCUCUUUCAUGGACCACAUUAUGAAAAGCCCCCCACUUCAACUGUGCUGAGUCAGACAUCUCUGGCAGCAGGGAUCACAGCAGGGAUCACACAUCCUAUUUUCAAGGGGGGGGGGACGUUUUCCUUGGGUCUUGAUGUGGGGGGGACAUCUAAAAAUAAAUUGUGCGUGUUGUACAUAAAAAAGACGGUCUCUCCCAUCAAUCUAUCUCCCCACAGUGAGCCUGCAUCGUCUGGGCCUGUCUGGCAGACAACCAAGCAAUAUGGUCUGACUCUGGGGUCUGCUCCUGCAGUCAUGAGAGGAGAGCUGUAAUUCUGUAAACAGUGGUAGAACUCACAGUCCAGAGCAGCUGCUGCUGCAGCCAAACCCAUAUACCACAUAACUGCUUUAAGGGGAUGCCUGGUCUAAGGCUCUAAGCAGUGAACAGAAUGCUUUCACAUAUUGACAUACUGUAUCAUGGUUGGAAGACAUGGAAAUGUUUUGUGUCCAUGUUGCAAUCAUACAAUGCAUAGUAAACAGCAGAACAGGGAUUAUAGAUCAAGAGUUUCUGGGGGAUUCAUUCAUUGGCGACCCGUCGUUCAGGGCAGGUAGGGCAGAGCAAAAGUACCAGUCAAACGAUUGGACACCUACUCAUUCAAGUUAUUUUUUUGUGGGGAUUAUUUUCUACAUUGUAGAAUAAUUAGUGAAGACAUCAACUAUGAAUCAUGUCGUAACCAAAAAAGUGUUAAACAAAUCAAAAUAUAUUUUAGAUUUGUUACGAUCAUUUAGAGAAGAAUUAGACCAAGGUGCAGCGUGGUAAGCAUACAUCUUACUUUAUUUGAUGAACACCAAAAAACAACAAAAUAUAAAGAAUGUACCGUUCUGCAGGCUACACAGUAACAAUACAAAAUCAAGAUCCCACAACUGAAGGUGGGAAAAGGGCUGCCUAAGUAUGAUCCCCAAUCAGAGACAACGAUAAACAGCUGCCUCUGAUUGGGAACCAUACUAGGCCAACAAAGAAAUAGAAACAUAGAUUUGCCCACCAAGUCACACCCUGACCGAACCAAAUAGAGAAUAAAAAAGGCUAUCUAAGGUCAGGGCGUGAAAAUAUUUUAGAUUCUUCAAAUUAGCCACCCUUUGCCUUGAUGACAGCUUUGCACAUUCUUGGCAUUCUCUCAACCAGCUUCAUUAGGUAGUCACCUGGAAUGCAUUUCAAUUAACAGGUGUGCCUUGUUAAAAGUUAAAUAGUGGAAUUUAUUUCCUUCUUAAUGUGUUUGAGCAAAUCAGUUGUGUUGUGACAAGGUGGGGAUGGUAUACAGAAGAUAGUCCUAUUUGGUAAAAGACCAAGUCCAUAUUAUGGCAAGAACAGCUCACAAGUAAAGAGAAAUGACAGUCCAUCAUUACUUUAAGACAUGAAGGUCAGUCAAUGCAGAAAACGUCAAUAACUUUGAAAGUUUCUUCAGGUGCAUUCGCAAAAACCAUCAAGCGCUAUGAUGAAAUUGGCUCUCAUGAGGACCGCCAGAGGAAAGGAAGACCCAGAGUUACCUCUGCUACAGAGAAUAAGUUCAUUACAGUUACCAGCCACAUAAAUUUCAGCCCAAAUAAAUGCUUCACAGAGUUCAAGUAACAGACACAUCUCAACAUCAACUGUUCAGAGGAGACUGCGUGAAUCAGGCAUUCAUGGUUGAAUUACUGCAAAGAAACCACUACCAAAGGACACCAAUAAUAAGAAGAGACUUGCUUGGGCCAAGAAACACAAGCAAUGGACAUUAGACCGGUGGAAAUCUGUCGUUUGGUCUGAUGAAUCCACAUUUUUGAUUUUUGAUUCCAACCGCCAUGUCUUUGUGAGUCACAGAGUAAGUGAACGGAUGAUAUCUGCAUGUGUGGUUCCCACUGUGAAGCAUGGAGGAGGAGGUUGUGAUGGUGUGGGUGUGCUUUGCUGGUGACACUGUCUGUGAUUUAUUUAGAAUUCAAGGUACACUUAACCAGCAUUGCUACCACAGCAUUAUGCAGCGAUUCGCCAUCCCAUCUGGUUUGCGCUUAGUGGGACUAUAAUUUGUUUUUCAACAGGACAAUGACCCAAAACACUCCUCCAGGCUAUUUGACCGAGAAGGAGAGUGAUGGCGUGCUGCAUUGGAUGACCUGGCCUCCACAAUCACCUGACCUCAAAUCAUUUGAGAUGGUUUGGGAUGAGUUGGACCGCAGAGUGAAGAAAAAGCAGCCAAAAGGGGCUCAGCAUAUGUGGGAACUCUUUCAAGACUGUAGGAAAAGCAUUCCUCGUGAAGCUGGUUGAGAGAAUGUCAAGAGUAUGCAAAGAUGUUAUUAAGUCAAAGGGUGGCUAUUUUGAAGAAUCCAGAAUAUAUUUCGAUUGAACACUUUUUUAGUUACUACAUGAUUCCAUAUGUGUUGUUUCUUAGUUUUGAUGUCUUCACUAUUAUUCUACAAUGUAGAAAAUAGUAAGAAUAAAGAAAAACCCUUGAAUGAGUAGGUGUGUUCAAACCUUUGACUGGUACUGUACAUGUAUGUAUAUUUUUUGGGGGGGGAUUACCUCUUUUGCAUGUUAUUUUGGCAUUAAUACGUGUUACAUAUCAGUUUGCAAACAAUGUAGAAAUAAUAAUAAUUAUCAUUGAGUUAAUAAAGCCUCAUGGUCUGUUUUUUUGCUUUCUUGAGUAAGGCAGCUCCAAAAUGCAGGGGUUUCAGUCUAGCUCAGUGCUUUCUGUGGUGGUGGGGCAGCCAGCGGAAAAUAUGGAGCGUAGGGGUCGGUAAUGUUCUCUAGUUGCGCUGUGAUUGGCUCAGCGUUCUGUCACUCAUGGGGACUGCUAUAGAAUUACAUUAGAAGUGCCCAUCCAAGAAGGCUCAAGGUCAUUGGCCACCGAUAGUAUGAUGUCAAAUCACGUUAUACUGUAACUACGGUAGCUUUGAUUGGACUGAUCAUGUCGACAUCAUACUUUCAAAAUCUUAGCUAGCAGUCAUCAUCAUGAAUCAAGUCGACAAUCUACUGGUAAAUCCUUUUUAAUCCUUGUCAUAUGAAGAGAAAUUAUAGAUAAAACUUAUCGGUGCUCAACAUCCAUUGGACAUGAACAUUACACAAGUUGGAAAUUCAACAAUGAGUGGUUUGGAAGGAAUCAGUGACUUAACUGCAAGGAUUACAAAUCCAUCACGAGCCUGCUAUUCAGUGGAGUGAGGUGUGUGGUCCCAAUUCUUGGUUUAAGGUUCUCUUUUCCAAGCUUAAAAUUAUAAACAUUCAACAUUAGCCAUGCUGUCAAUCCAGCAUGAUUUCUGACGCGCUCAAAACAACUGUUAACUCAGAACUGAGAAAUCUGACUUCAGUGAGUUCAAGAUAGCUGGGAACCCAGGAAAAAACUCAGGAAAAAAAAUGUUUUGAACAGUCAUCCAACUCGGAAUUGUAAGUCAGUCCUCUUUCUAGAGCUAUGACCUGAAGAUCACUGACUUCAUCAUGAUUCAAACUGUUGUUCUCAGUUGCCUUGAAAGCACCAUCAAUCUAGAGAAUGCCUGACUUUGAUGACAAACUUUGAUUUAAAAAAUUGCCCUUGAAGGAGCACUGCGCCACCUUCCUGUUCAAGUGAGCACAGCACAACAAGGUGAGUCCAAAAAUGUCUUGUAUGCUGCUGCAUGAAUUAUGUAAUAUGCCAGGGAGAUAUGUACAGUGGCAAGAAAAAGUAUGUGAACCCUUUGGAAUUACACGGAUUUCUGCAACUUCACAACAAUGGUGUGCUUAAACUAAUAACAUACAAAUGAUUGUAUUUAUCUGUCUACAUUGAAUACAGAAUUUAAACAUUCACAGUGUAGGUUGUAAAAAGUAUGUGAACCACUAGGCUAAUGACUUAGGAGUCAACAUACCUGUAGUCCAAUCAAUGAGACAAGAUUGGCGAUGUUGGUUAGUGCUGCCUUGUCCUAUAAAAAACACUCACAAAAUUUGAGUUUGCUAUUCACAAGAAGCAUUGCCUGAUGUGAACCAUGCCUCGAACAAAAGAGAUCUCAGAAGACCUAAGAUUAGGAAUUGUUGACUUGAAUAAAGCUGGAAAGAGUUACAAAAGUAUUUCUGAAAGCCUUGUUGUUCACCAGUCCACGGUAAGACAACUUGUCUAUAAAUAGAGAAAGUUCAGCACUGUUGCUACUCUCCCUAGGAGUGACCAUCCGGGCCGUCCUGCAAAGACUGCAAGAGCACAGCGCAGAAUGUGAAGAAGAAUCCUAGUGUCAGCUAAAGACUUACAGAAAUCUCUGGAACAUGCUAACAUCUCUGUUGACGAGUCUACGAUACGUAAAACACUAAACAAGAAUGAGGUUCAUGGGAGGACACUACAGAAAAAGCCACUGCUGUCCAAAAAAACAUUGCUGCACGUUUGAA